AUAGGAGAUAAGAAGGCAUCUUUUUAUUUUUAAAAGACCUAGCAAUAGGUAUGCUUAGGGAAGAGCUUGCGUCACAUUAGUUAGUUGGUGGGGUAAUGGCCUACCAAGACGAUGAUGUGUAGCCGGGCUGAGAGGUCGAACGGCCACAUUGGGACUGAGACACGGCCCAAACUCCUACGGGAGGCAGCAGUAAGGAAUUUUCGGCAAUGGAGGAAACUCUGACCGAGCAAUGCCGCGUGAACGAUGAAGUAUUUCGGUACGUAAAGUUCUUUUAUUAGGGAAGAAAAGAUGGUGGAAAAACCAUUAUGACGGUACCUGAUGAAUAAGCCCCGGCUAACUAUGUGCCAGCAGCCGCGGUAAUGCAUAGGGGGCAAGCGUUAUCCGGAAUUAUUGGGCGUAAAGGGUGCGUAGGCGGUUAAAUAAGUUUAUGGUCUAAGUGCAACGCUCAACGUUGUGAUGCUAUAAAAACUGUUUAGCUAGAGUUGGAUAGAGGCAAGUGGAAUUCCGUGUGUAGUGGUAAAAUGCGUAAAUAUACGGAGGAACACCAGAAGCGAAGGCGGCUUGCUGGGUCUUAACUGACGCUGAAGCACGAAAGCGUGGGGAGCAAACAGGAUUAGAUACCCUGGUAGUCCACGCCCUAAACGAUGAGUACUAAACGUUGGAUAAAACCAGUGUUGAAGUUAACACAUUAAGUACUCCGCCUGAGUAGUACGUACGCAAGUAUGAAACUUAAAGGAAUUGACGGGACUCCGCACAAGCGGUGGAUCAUGUUGUUUAAUUCGAAGGUACCCGAAAAACCUCACCAGGUCUUGACAUGCUUUUGCAAAGCUGUAGAAAUACAGUGGAGGUUAUCAGAAGCACAGGUGGUGCAUGGUUGUCGUCAGCUCGUGUCGUGAGAUGUUGGGUUAAGUCCCGCAACGAGCGCAACCCUUGUUGUUAAUUGCCAUCAUUAAGUUGGGGACUUUAGCAAGACUGCCAAUGAUAAAUUGGAGGAAGGUGGGGACGACGUCAAAUCAUCAUGCCCCUUAUGACCUGGGCUACAAACGUGAUACAAUGGCUGUUACAAAGGGUAGCUAAAGCGUAAGCUUCUGGCGAAUCUCAAAAAAGCAGUCUCAGUUCGGAUUGAAGUCUGCAACUCGACUUCAUGAAGUUGGAAUCGCUAGUAAUCGCGAAUCAGCAUGUCGCGGUGAAUACGUUCU
rnacentral:rRNA from 1 species